UACGAAGGGGGCUAGCGUUGUUCGGAUUUACUGGGCGUAAAGCGCACGUAGGCGGAUCGAUCAGUCAGGGGUGAAAUCCCAGGGCUCAACCCUGGAACUGCCUUUGAUACUGUCGAUCUGGAGUAUGGAAGAGGUGAGUGGAAUUCCGAGUGUAGAGGUGAAAUUCGUAGAUAUUCGGAGGAACACCAGUGGCGAAGGCGGCUCACUGGUCCAUUACUGACGCUGAGGUGCGAAAGCGUGGGGAGCAAACCGG
rnacentral:rRNA from 1 species